rnacentral:rRNA from 1 species
AUAAGGUAUCUUACUUUCGAAUACAUAGGGGUAAGAAGCGAACGCAGGGAACUGAA